GAGACACGCUGGCGGCGUGCCUAACACAUGCAAGUCGAGCGGGGUUGAGGCGAGAGGUAACUCGAGCUUCUACCUAGCGGCGGACGGGUGAGUAACGCGUGGGCAACCUGCCUCAAGGUUUGGGAUAACAGCCCGAAAGGGCUGCUAAUACCGGAUAUGCCUAUGGCCUCGCAUGGGGCUAUGAGCAAAGGGGAAACCCGCCUUGAGAUGGGCCCGCGUCCCAUCAGCUAGUUGGUGAGGUAACAGCUCACCAAGGCGACGACGGGUAGCCGGCCUGAGAGGGUGACCGGCCACACUGGGACUGAGACACGGCCCAGACUCCUACGGGGGGCAGCAGUGGGGGAUCUUGCACAAUGGGCGAAAGCCUGAUGCAGCGACGCCGCGUGAGCGAAGAAGGCCUUCGGGUUGUAAAGCUCUGUCUGGAGGGACGAACAAAAUGACGGUACCUCCGGAGGAAGCCACGGCUAACUACGUG
rnacentral:rRNA from 1 species